rnacentral:lncRNA from 1 species
GUUGGUCUCUGUAUUGCAGGAGAUUAUUCCAAGAAACAAAGGACAGAGUAUGCAUACAAAAUCCUUGGUAUAGUGUCUGCUAAUAGCAGAUGAAUUCUCAGUGAAUAUACAGAAUACUCUUGAAGUAAUGUGUCUGCCAAACUGUUGGUGAACUUCAAGGUUGCAGGUUGGCUUCACACAGACUGUGAUUAUGACCACACUAUAAAGGUAUCCAAGGAUAAUAAUAUCAAUUUUUCAAUUCUCUGUCUACCUUUAAAACGUAUUUGAGGCAAUGUUGGUUUCACUUUCAGAAAUGGCCAUGUUAGAGCUUACUGAACUGAUCUCCAGAUAAUAACUAUAUACUGGGAAAUUAUAAGCAGGUACUACAGGAAGAGGAGCAUGAGCAGAUGCAUGUAGAUCCUAGGGAGAAAUCUUUGCUUGGAGAAAGGGAGGGAAAUUAAAGAAGAUCUAAGUAAAUAAAGAAAUAGCAUGUUUAUGGGAUGGAAAGCUCUAUGUUAUUAAAAUAGCAAUUAUCCCCCCAACUGAUAUAUAGAGGCAUUGCAACUCCAAUAAAUAUUCCAAUAGGCUUUUAAAAAAUCAAUUGAAAUUCAAGUUAAUAGUAUCAGUUAUACCAUGUGAAUGUAAAGCACCCGUUAACAUAGUGUAAUGAGGAAGCCACUGCCGUUCUGAAAACCCACAAAGUCCUUCUGUGGGUUGUAGGGAGACCCCAGACAAGCCAAAUUGGAGAACACUUCACAGAAUACUUGACUGAUACUCUUCAGGACUGUUAAGGUUAUGCAUGAAAAAUAAGGGACAUCUGAGAACUUUCCCAGACCAGAAAAGACUAGAGCAGCAGGAUGACUGAAUGAAAUGUGGUACUCCAGAUUGGAUCUUGGAAUAAAAAGAGGAUAUUAAUGGAAAGACUGAUGACAUCUAAAUAAAGUCUGGAGUUUACUUAAUAGCAGUGUGCUGAUGCUGGUUUCUUAGUUUUGACAAACAUACUGCAAUAAUGUGAGAUGGUAUCGUUCGGAGAAGCUGCCUGAG